UACGUAGGGGCUAGCGUUAUCCGGAUUUACUGGGCGUAAAGGGUGCGUAGGCGGUCUUUCAAGUCAGGAGUGAAAGGCUACGGCUCAACCGUAGUAAGCUUUUGAAACUGUAAGACUUGAGUGCAGGAGAGGAGAGUGGAAUUCCUAGUGUAGCGGUGAAAUGCGUAGAUAUUGGGAAGAACACCGGUGGCGAAGGCGACUUGCUGGGCAGCAACUGACGCUGAGGCGCGAAAGCCAGGGGAGCAAACGGGAUUAGAUACCCUGGUAGUCCCUGA
rnacentral:rRNA from 1 species